AUUGAACGCUGGCGGCAGGCCUAACACAUGCAAGUCGAACGAGUGGCGGACGGGUGAGUAAUGUCUGGGAAACUUCCUGAUGGAGGGGGAUAACUACUGGAAACGGUAGCUAAUACCGCAUACCAUCGGAUGUGCCCCGAUGGGAUUAGGUGGUUGGUGGGGUAACGGCUCACCAAGGCGACGAUCCCUGGCUGGUCUGAGAGGAUGACCAGCGACUCUGGGACUGAGAAACGGUCCAGACUCCGACGGAAGGCAGCAGUGGGGAAUAUUGGACAAUGGGGGAAAGACUGAUGCAGCCAUGCCGCGUGUAUGAAGAAGGCCUUCGGGGGGUAAAGUACUUUCAGCGUGGAAGCGUUACCCGCAGAAGAAGCACCGGCUAACUCCGUGCCAGCAGCCGCGGUAAUAC
rnacentral:rRNA from 1 species